CUACGGGGCGCACCAGUGGGGAAUUUUGGACAAUGGGGGCAACCCUGAUCCAGCCAUGCCGCGUGAGUGAAGAAGGCCUUCGGGUUGUAAAGCUCUUUCAGCCGGGAAGAAAUCGCAUGGGUCAAUACCCUGUGCGGAUGACGGUACCGGAAUAAGAAGCACCGGCUAACUACGUGCCAGCAGCCGCGGUAAUACGUAGGGUGCGAGCGUUAAUCGGAAUUACUGGGCGUAAAGCGUGCGCAGGCGGAUGCUUAAGUCAGAUGUGAAAUCCCCGGGCUUAACCUGGGAAUUGCAUUUGAAACUGGGUAUCUAGAGUGCGUCAGAGGGGGGUGGAAUUCCACGUGUAGCAGUGAAAUGCGUAGAUAUGUGGAGGAACACCAAUGGCGAAGGCAGCCCCCUGGGAUGACACUGACGCUCAUGCACGAAAGCGUGGGGAGCAAACAGGAUUAGAUACCCGAGUAGUC
rnacentral:rRNA from 1 species